CGCGAGAAGGGUCUGGCUGCAGACCGUGGGCGAGUGGAGCUCCACUCUCAAACCGGAAAUACGUCACCUCCACUUGAAAACAUCAAGAUGGCGUCGCCGGGAGUACUUCAAACUUAAACUCAGGGAUAGGAUUGGCAUAGAAGAUGCAGCACUCUUUACAUUUUAAAUAUCAAAUGUAUAUUAAGUGUUAUCCAUCCUCAUAACACCUCCACAAAUAGAGAGUGGAACUUCUGAGCACCAUCACCUUGUCUGCUUUGGGACUGUCAUAGCCCAGCAAUCAGAUGCA